UCCCUGAUGGUCCAGUGGUUAAGACUCCGCGCUCCCAGUGCGGGGGGCCCCGGGUUCGAUCCCUGGUCAGGGAA